rnacentral:rRNA from 2 species
GAGCUUGCUCCCUGAGAUUAGCGGCGGACGGGUGAGUAACACGUGGGCAACCUGCCUAUAAGACUGGGAUAACUUCGGGAAACCGGAGCUAAUACCGGAUACGUUCUUUUCUCGCAUGAGAGAAGAUGGAAAGACGGUUUACGCUGUCACUUAUAGAUGGGCCCGCGGCGCAUUAGCUAGUUGGUGAGGUAAUGGCUCACCAAGGCGACGAUGCGUAGCCGACCUGAGAGGGUGAUCGGCCACACUGGGACUGAGACACGGCCCAGACUCCUACGGGAGGCAGCAGUAGGGAAUCUUCCGCAAUGGACGAAAGUCUGACGGAGCAACGCCGCGUGAACGAAGAAGGCCUUCGGGUCGUAAAGUUCUGUUGUUAGGGAAGAACAAGUACCAGAGUAACUG